rnacentral:rRNA from 1 species
UACGUAGGGUGCGAGCGUUAAUCGGAAUUACUGGGCGUAAAGCGUGCGCAGGCGGUUUGUUAAGUCUGAUGUGAAAGCCCCGGGCUCAACCUGGGAACUGCAUUGGAAACUGGCAAGCUCGAGUAUGGGCAGAGGGGGGGUGGAAUUCCGCGUGUAGCAGUGAAAUGCGUAGAGAUGCGGAGGAACACCGAUGGCGAAGGCAGCCCCCCUGGGCCAAUACUGACGCUCAGGCACGAAAAGCGUGGGGGAGCAAAACAGGG